UUUAUAAUUUACGGUUUAUUACAAUUAAUAUAGGAACAAGUGUUAUUUAGUUACAUGAUAUUUAUGAAGGAUAUGUAUCUACAUUGCUAUCCUACAGGUUACUCGCGUGUUAUACACAUCGAGGUAAAUAACGUGGAGGAUUUAACAACUGGAGUCGCCUUUAAGAGCUUACUUCCUGUCGAAAACCUCGGCCACUGGUCAUAUUUAUUGUAUGUCUGACGUUUAUUUGACAUGGCUAUUUGUACUUUACCAGCCAGCUUAAGCAGCCAUAUAUUUGACGUGCCCCUCCUCCGCAAAAAUCAGCAGACUGUUUUGUACAGAAAAUUACAUACUUAAUAUCGCGUAGCAUAAAGGCGUCUCCAGUUAUUAAAUCCUUCAAGGUAAAUAACGUUGACUAAAAAUCAUUUUGGAAAAUUAAUUUUAUAUACAUUAGGAAAGUCGCUUUGGCACAAAACAGGUAGAAUAUACUUCACUUAACUAACGGCCACAUUUAUUUUUUACAGGUACGUGAACAUAUUAAAUUUUAGCAUACAUUUUGUGGAUCGAGCGACAAUUUGGUAAGUGUUUUUUUUUUUUGGAAAUAGUAUAAUAUACGUUAUAAUUUAUUCAUAAAUUUGUAAUCCCACCGAACUGACAGAGCUCAACGUGUAUUGCAAGUAUGUGCAUAUCAUAGUGGAAAAAGGUGGCUACAAAUUGUAGCGUAGCACCACAUGACAGCACAGUUGUAAGCCUAUUUAAACAUUAAGAAUCCCUAAUUGGCCUUCUAAAGCAGCAUUCAAUUUCAAACGUUGUCAAUCUCAUACUGGUUCAAUAUUAAUUUGACAUCAGUUGCAUUAUAUUUUAUUACUUGUACUUUCGACUUCAAAAACGACGAUAUUCUAUAUUUAUUCUAGCUUUUUAGGUAAAAGAGGUGCUGUCACAUAAUUAUUAUGAAUAUCCUAAAGUUUCAUAUCUAAGUGCCUUACUAUAUAACUUUUCAGCACUUUUAUAUUUAUCUCAAGUACACGAACAUGCCAGCUUCCACAAACUUUUCAACUCAAAACUUCCUACACUGGGUUGUAGUUGGCGAAUGAAGUUGGACAAAAAUUAGUUUAAUUAUGAAUAUUAAUAAAACCGUGUACAUCAUUCACAAUAAAAACUGCUUGGUUUGGAAUUUAAUCAUGAAUGUAUAACGGAUUGAAAAUUAUGUAAUUAAAUUGUUAAAAUUGUUUUUACUUCUCAAAAAGGGAUACUAUAAAAUAGAUGACAAACAACAAAAACGAUACAAAAAACGCCCAAGUUCAUGUUGGGCGACGCAUAAUGGAGGGUUUCGUAUCUUCAUACGAUAUAAUUACCAUUUUGCCUACGGUACCCGAAAUUUGAGCAAACUAUACAAUCGGAUAUUUUUUUUUUUAAUCGAAGCUAUAAAGGUUAGAAAUAAAUUAAAAGAGGAAAAAAUCCUUGUCUCGGGCGAGGCUCAAACUUGCGACUCUGGAUCACUAGCCCAUCGCUCUGAUGACUGAGCUACCGAGACUUCACCCGAGGACAGCGAAUAUUUCCACUCGAUGCGCCUUAGGAAGGCGUCUAGCGAUAAUGUAGAUGUCAUCUACCGUAAGAUUAAUAGACUUAUUAAAUCUCCUUGGUUUCUCUGUGUUAUUGUAGUGUGUGUGUAACCUUACCCACAAACACACGCGCAGCAUAGGUCAUUAUAGUAGGUAUUUAAAGCAAUGUACGUGAUAUUUAAGGCAUUAUACGUUUAAACUCGAACCUAGUUGUUUCCUUAAACGUCUAACCUCACAUGGGGAUCCUGCCAGUGCAGCACUGGUGGCGCGCGGCGCCAGACAGAAGACGAUCGAGAAACAAAAUUACAAAAAUAAUAACUACAAGGACAAUUAAAUUGUGUAUUAACAAUACCCUAAAAAGAACGAAAAACCUAUAGGACUUGUUAAAAAGUUACAGUGAACAUACGGGUAUUGUAACUGAGUGGAACUUUAUAUGGGAACUCUACAAAAUUAGUGAUAUAAUUAAGGUGAUAAUGGACGCAUUGGAAAAUUAAAGUGAGUAAGAACAUUUUCGCGGACUGUGAAGUGGAUAUAAAAAUUGUAUGUAAUGAACGAUGGUUGGAUGGAUGAUAGUUACAUAUCUGCGAAGCCUACGCUUAACCAACAAUGAAUUCGAAUAUAUGAAAGGUUCCUUUAUUU